GAGGUAAGGAGAACAAGGCACUUGAGUACCCUGCCAGAUUUUGGUAAUGUGUGCCUGGGUCUGUAGCAGUUGGUGCAGCCAUUAAGGAUCAAGAGAUGGCAUCACCGGGGUGAGUUCCAGGUUACUGGUGCAUUUUGGGAAAGGCCAUCUCCUCAGGCAGCACAGUGAGUUCUGGCUAAGCUCAGACUCAGCUUCUACAGGGCAAGGAGACCAACAGGCCUGGGGAGAGCUGGACCCUAGAUGAGGGGGGAGAUUAAAUUAGAAGCCACCUGCUCAGUGUCUUAAGGUAAAGGUAGUAAUUAUAGGAGAUAACGGUUUCAGUCCAAGGUACUGAGAUUCCCAGUUACUCUUUGUAAAAUAAAUUCCUCAAGGGACAGCUGAGAAAGAUCUCUUUACUCAGGGGAAAGGAAGGGGGACAAGAGGCUCCAGGCUCUCUGGCCUCUCUCCUCUGGCCCAGGCCUCUAGCCAGGAAGCACAGUAGCGCUCAGGAAUGCUGCCCUCCCCAACCCACAGCCCCCUCCUCACAUUCACCUAAAGCUCUGGAAGGCACAAAAGAAUCCUGGCUGGCUUCCUACCUGUGAGUCCCCUGAGAGCAGGCCAAGGGCCCACCUUCUGCCCAGCACUUCCCCCAAGGCUUGGAGAUUAGUGGAGCUGGAGUCAAAUGUGGUUUUCAUUGCCUAGGCAGGGAUUCUGUAGCCUCAGGAAUUGUAUUAAGAUCUUUACAAAAUCACCAAUUUACAAAAUGCCAUAAUUGACACUCAUUAGUGUAAAUUAGCAAGGGGCUCCUGCAGAACCCACUGCUCAACCUUUAAAUAUAGAAUUGCAAGCCCUGGAGGGCUGGGAUUUGUGUGUGCUUUUUGUUUUUUUGUUUUUUUCCUUGCAGAUUGUAUCCAAGCCCCACUUAAUACCCCAAAUUAUUUGAACUUGUGGAUCCUUUCAUCAGAGAUUAAAUGUAUGUCCAAGAAUAUUUAGUCCAGAGUUUUUUUUUCUUUUUUCUUUUUAAGCUUGCCUGUUUACAAAGUUCUGAGAGGCCUCUGUCUGAAGUUCUGCACCUUUGGGAAAGAAUGCUGGGGAAGCAGGAAGAAAUCUUGAGAAAGGGGCUCAUUUUAUUUUAUUUUUUUCUACAGGCUGCAAUCAAUUGAGGGAUGAUGUGGACUAAGAACAGCAGUGUGUAUUUAGCCACCAAGUUGCAGGAAAAGGGGACCACUUGUCUCCCCACUUCCUUGUCCCCGGGACCAAAUGCAACUCCCUGAAACCCAGGAGAAAGCCGAACAUCAGGUUGCUGGUGACUCACGGCACUGGAGAGACCCAAAGCAGCCUUCACUUUUGUACCUGAUCUAACUCCAGAAAGGCACCUCUGGGGCUCGUUUCCAGCAGCUGCACUGGGACCCUGCAGGGGAGGUCAGCACUGCACUGUAACCAGAUCACCUGGGAAAGCCACCACCAGGGCCCCGGCCUGCAGCCUGGGUAACUGAGGAGCUAAACGCUCCUCUCUGAGUGUUGUGCCUCCAGGUUUCCCUGGAUUUCUUUUGGGCCCUUCCAAGCUGAGGCAGGGGGUGGGUGGGGGUGGACAGGAGAAUAGGAGCCCAGUAGUGAGGCACAAGCCCCCCUCCACCCCGCCCCCAAGCAACAGUGAGCUUGAAGGUAUGCAUCCAAGGGCAAAUGCCGCAGCCGCCCCCGCUGGGGUGGGUGGGGCUGUGACUCUCCAGCGCCCAGAGAAGAGAAGCUCCUCUGGCUCCCCUAAUCAAGCAGCGGUGCUCAGGCCAGAAAUCAGAACCUAUUCAGAGCUCAACACACAGGCGCUCUCUCCUCUCCCCCUACACCCCCUGGGAUUAUCCGUUUCCUUCAAAAGCAAUUCUUGUUUCUACUCUCAGGACCUAGCGCCCGCCUGUCAAGCAGCGAAUUUCAACAGGUCUUUUUAAAGUGACAGAGCCCCCAGGUGUGCUUACCAAAAGAACAGGGUUUCGUGUGCACCUCCUGUGCUCUUUCCUCCAGCUUUUUGUCAGUAAGACUAACUUUCCCAACCGUUCUGGAUGUAAAUCCGUGUACUGGCAAAAAUCCUGACUGGCUCUGAUGGUACCCCGGAUUUGGGACCCAGUGAGCUUGGCUCCAGGAGUUUUCAGAAAGCCUUCCAGUCUAAUGCAGAGACAGGAGCCCAGCUGGCCCCUCCAAGCAGGCUUGGGAAGGGGGCCCACCCUGAGUUUAACCCCGGGAAGCCCAGGAGCCCAGCUGCCUGACGGAAGUCGGCCAGUGGGGGAGGGGGCAGGACCCCUGGCCGAGCUCUCUCUGUAGUUCAGCUUUAGGACUAAGUGUGGGGCCAGGGGGAACAUAGGCACAGCGAGAUGAGGUGGGGGGGCGGGGAACAAGCAUUCUGGCGAUGUGUACAAGGAGAAGCAGACCUGCCUGGAGCCUGGCCCCUGCCCUGGUUACUUGGCUGCCAGUGGGGCAACUCUGAGGGCCAUGUCACCCUUCCCAGGCCAAGAGGAGUCUGGGACGGACCCCACGUCUCUGUGCUUCCCCCAGGUCAGCUGCACCCAUAACUCAAGGACUGGGGUGCCUCAUUCCAAUCCUCUCUCUAGCCCUCUAGGGGAGGGGGCAGCACCGUUUCCCAGAGCGGUGCACUGUGACACCUCCACCCUCAUCCCACCUCUCAGUCAAUAACCGCCCAAACCAGAGCCCUUAUAGGAACAGAAGAAUAUCCAGCAAUAAAAUCUAGAAACAUGCCCCAUGACUUGGGGGGUCAGUGUGGAGACACUGCCUCAGGGACUUUUCAACAACGACAAACAUUCCCAAUUGCCUUCAGUCUGUGUCCUGAACACUUCUCAGGCAGUCCGCCACGACCCCGGGCGGCCCAACCUCUCCUGCGCCGCUCAGCUGCGCUGGCCCUGCUCACAUCAGCGCGCAGUCCACGGCCAGCGAGGACGCCGGGGCCGCGUCUGCACGAACCCAGUCGAGGGCCUGAGGCGCGCUGGGCCCGCACAGCCCGCGGCUGCAAGAGCACUCAGGGUGUCCUUCAACUCUUUGCAGGAAACUUCGCAGCCAAGGAAGCGCAGCGGCCUGAGCCACAGGGUUUCGUCUCGUGUGUUCAGAGGCAAUAGUUUAUUUUGGUUUGCAGCGGUGUCCUAUGACAGGGCAGCGAGUUUCUCUUCAGCGAAAGAAAAGAAAAGAGCCCUCUCCCAGUGAAACGGGACACCAAGGUUCCCAGUGGCUUAGGGCCUUGGAGACUGAACUUUGCUGCAGCUCUCAUUCCAGGGCAAAGCGCUUGGCCGGCUGGUGACAAAAGCGCCUGUCUGCAGAGUCGCCUGUUGCCUAUUACAAUGAAGUUAGAUGUCUCCUGACCUCAGCCCAUCUGUCAAGUUAAAAACCCUGUUGGAUAAAAAGUUUCUGCUUCAGUCUUGCUGCCCAUGUCCGUGGGAGAAGCUACAACAGGGGAUUUACUCUCCUGGUCCAAAUCAGGUCCAGCUUCUGGACCUCCCUGCUCCAUGCUGCGGGAUACUGGACAUUCAGGGUGCCUAUCUGUCAGCCCCACAACACAGCCCCACUGGGGUGGCUGACUUUGUGCUGACCUUGUGUCUCUGAGCUCAGUUUCAACUGGGGUGUAUCUGAGGGUUAGUCUUCAGAGACCUUGGAAUGAGCAGGGCUUGGAAGCAAUGGAAUCCCGGAAGUAUGGAACACACACAUCACCCAGAUCCUGACUUCUAAUACCAGUCUAUAAAGAAAGGAACGAGAGCUCCUGGCAGAUACUGUGGAUUCUAGGGCUGAGCAGGGCAUACAGGAGAAGAGCCUGGCAUGUCUCAUAGUGCCAGAAUGUAAGUACAUAACACACACACAAGUGCACAAACACUCAA